UUUAUACUCCCUCCGUCCCAAAAUUCUUGUCUUAAAUUUACCUAGAUACGGAUGUAUCUAACACUAAAACGUGAAUAGAUACAUCCAUAUGUAGAUAAAUCUAAGACAAGAUGUUUGGGACAGAGGGAGUAUUAU
rfam:Triticum aestivum genome assembly, contig: Triticum_aestivum_CS42_TGACv1_scaffold_146523_2BS